GGGGGUGUUCUGGCUUCGACGUGGGUCGUGCAGCUGGAGGAGCAUGUCGAGGUGUAGGGACCUCGUAAAAACUCUACUUUUAAACUUAGUCGCAAACGACGAAACUUACGCACUAGCCGCUUAAUCCGGCUUACCGGGUCCGAAUUUGUCCGUAGAUGAGGGUACCCGGGCGCAGCAUACGGAAUCGUGGGGAGGCGCGUGUCGAGCCAAACCACUAAAACCUUAGACACUAGCCCUGCGAGAGCCUGUUUGUCGGCGCUCAAUGGGUGACUCCAUAGACAAACUAAACAUGUAGCGCCAAAAGGGAAUCACUUGCGGACGCGGGUUCAACUCCCGCCACCUCCACCA
rnacentral:tmRNA from 1 species